rnacentral:rRNA from 1 species
GACAGAGGGGGCAAGCGUUGCUCGGAAUUACUGGGCGUAAAGAGCGCGCAGGCGGUCGAUCAAGUCGAGUGUGAAAGCCCCCGGCUCAACUGGGGAGGGUCAUUCGAUACUGAUCGACUCGAAGGCAGGAGAGGGUAGUGGAAUUCCCGGUGUAGUGGUGAAAUGCGUAGAUAUCGGGAGGAACACCAGUGGCGAAGGCGGCAUCCUGGACCGGCAUUGACGCUGAGGCGCGAAAGCCAGGGGAGCAAACGGG